UGACCAAAAAAUGACUUACAAAGACAUGGAAAGAAUUCAAAAAUGGACAAAAUAGCCCAAGACUCCAUAGAGUUAAAUUGUUAACCCAUUUCUUGUUCCCUGAAAAAGGCCUACUUGCAUAAUUCUGAAAUGUACAUUAUUUUUCAGUUUUGGUUAAGCUUACCUUUUUUUAUUUACCUCUGGCAGUUCACCACUUACCUUUGGACCCUUUCAAGCUGUUCAUUUGACUUGAACUGCUUGAAUUUCAAUAAAAAACUGGAAAAAUGGGGGUGUUCUAAAACUUUUGACCGGUAGUGUAUAUCCAUUACACACAGAAUGAAACAUUUAAUGUCUUUAUUUAAUUUCUUCUAAUUAUGGCUUACAUUUAUUGAAGACCUAAAAUACAGUGUCUCAAAAAAUUUGAAUAUUACAAAAGACCAAUUUUAAAAAAGUUUUGUUUCUGUCGCUUCUGCUUUGCAAGAAAAGGUUUAAUAAAAACAUGUUUUCUCUUUUUUCAGCCAACAGUGGCUCUUUUGUUUGUCAUUUUAGCCCUACAAUGAAGAUAAAACAGCCUACUAAAUCUAAAUUAGUCUACUAGCAUUACAAAUAGGUCAUUAUAAGCAUUUUAUAAAGUAUGUUUAAUAUGGAAAUGUUGUCCUCUGAAAAGUAUGUCCAUCUAUAUGACUAAAUACUUGGUUGGGGCUAUUUGACUUGAACUACUGGAAAUGGACUUUUCCAUCAUAUUCUAAUGUAUUGAGAUGCACCUUUAGUGUCUUUGUUACCUCUUUGUUGUUGAUGUGUAAUAGUUUGGUGCAUGUUUACUUUUUAAAAACCUGAACUGUAGAUAAACUCCAGUUUCUGUUACAUGUGCCAUGUUUCCCCUUUUCUUUUGUUAAAAGGAUGGAUGGUACAAUGUAUCCAGACUUGACAAAUGAAAUAAAUGAGGUUAAGUCUA